rnacentral:rRNA from 1 species
UAGGGGGCAAGCGUUAUCCGGAUUUACUGGGUGUAAAGGGAGCGUAGACGGCGGUGCAAGUCUGAUGUGAAAGCACGGGGCUCAACCCCGGGACUGCAUUGGAAACUGUACGGCUGGAGUGCAGGAGAGGUAAGUGGAAUUCCUAGUGUAGCGGUGAAAUGCGUAGAUAUUAGGAGGAACACCAGUGGCGAAGGCGGCUUACUGGACUGUAACUGACGUUGAGGCUCGAAAGCGUGGGGAGCAAA